rnacentral:rRNA from 1 species
CCAUCAGAACUCCGCAGUUAAGUGUGCUUACGUGAGAGUAGUACUAGGAUGGGUGACCUCCUGGGAAGCCCUCGUGUUGCACCUCCUCCCUUUUU